AGGGAAUCUUCCACAAUGGACGCAAGUCUGAUGGAGCAACGCCGCGUGAGUGAAGAAGGUCUUCGGAUCGUAAAGCUCUGUUGUUGGUGAAGAAGGAUAGAGGCAGUAACUGGUCUUUAUUUGACGGUAAUCAACCAGAAAGUCACGGCUAACUACGUGCCAGCAGCCGCGGUAAUACGUAGGUGGCAAGCGUUGUCCGGAUUUAUUGGGCGUAAAGCGAGCGCAGGCGGAAUGAUAAGUCUGAUGUGAAAGCCCACGGCUCAACCGUGGAACUGCAUCGGAAACUGUCAUUCUUGAGUGCAGAAGAGGAGAGUGGAACUCCAUGUGUAGCGGUGGAAUGCGUAGAUAUAUGGAAGAACACCAGUGGCGAAGGCGGCUCUCUGGUCUGCAACUGACGCUGAGGCUCGAAAGCAUGGGUAGCGAACAGGAUUAGAUACCCUGGUAGUCCAUGCCGUAAACGAUGAGCGCUAGGUGUUGGGGACUUUCCGGUCCUCA
rnacentral:rRNA from 1 species